rnacentral:rRNA from 1 species
CCCGGGGCAUUGCUCAGUACGGCGAGUGAAGCGGCAAAAGCUCAAAUUUGAAAUCUGGUACCUUCGGUGCCCGAGUUGUAAUUUGUAGAAGGUAACUUUGGGGCUGGUCCUUGUCUAUGUUCCUUGGAACAGGACGUCAUAGAGGGUGAGAAUCCCGUGUGGCGAGGAUCCCAGUUCUAUGUAAAGUGCUUUCGAAGAGUCGAGUUGUUUGGGAAUGCAGCUCUAAGUGGGUGGUAAAUUCCAUCUAAAGCUAAAUAUUGGCGAGAGACCGAUAGCGAACAAGUACAGUGAUGGAAAGAUGAAAAGAACUUUGAAAAGAGAGUGAAAAAGUACGUGAAAUUGUUGAAAGGGAAGGGCAUUUGAUCAGACAUGGUGUUUUGCGCCCUCUGCUCCUCGUGGGUGGGGGAAUCUCGCAGCUCACUGGGCCAGCAUCAGUUUUGGCGGUAGGAUAAAUCUGCAGGAAUGUAGCUUGCUUCGGCAAGUGUUAUAGCCUGUUGAAAUACUGCCAGCCGGGACUGAGGACUGCGACUUUUAGUCAAGGAUGCUGGCAUAAUGGUUAUAUGCCGCCCGUCUUGAAMMACGGGAMCAAAAA